rnacentral:rRNA from 1 species
AUUGAACGCUGGCGGAAUGCUUUACACAUGCAAGUCGAACGGCAGCACGGGGGCAACCCUGGUGGCGAGUGGCGAACGGGUGAGUAAUACAUCGGAACGUGCCCGGCCGCGGGGGAUAACGUAGCGAAAGAUACGCUAAUACCGCAUACGAUCAGAGGAUGAAAGCGGGGGACCAUCGGGCCUUGCGCGAUCGGAGGGGCCGAUGACGGAUUAGCUAGUUGGCGGGGUAAAGGCCUACCAAGCCGACGAUCUGUAGCUGGUCUGAGAGGAUGAGCAGCCACACUGGAACUGAGACACGGCCCAGACUCCUACGGGAGGCAGCAGUGGGGAAUUUUGGACAAUGGGCGCAAGCCUGAUCCAGCCAUUCCGCGUGCAGGACGAGGGCCUUCGGGUUGUAAACUGCUUUUGUAUGGAACGAAAAGGCUCUGGCUAAUACCUGGGGCUCAUGACGGUACCGUAAGAAUAAGCACCGGCUAACUACGUG